UAUUGUCCAUUUGUAUUUGAUUUGAAAUUUGUAUGCCCCAUUUUUUAUUGAUAUUUGCCUUCCCUCCCUUUCUAUCAGUUUGCUAUCAAUCAAUUUAAUUUUGAUUUCCCUUUGCAAGUGACAACAUACAAACUGGGCAGGGUUUUUCAACAGCUAAAUAGAAGUAGACCGGGCGAAAGAGAAGGGGGAUAUCUGGAGUCAGAGAAGAGAUUACGUCGUUGUCCUUUUGCGAUAAACUACCAACGAUUACAAACUCGUUUAAGGCAAACAAGGAGUUGGAAAGCGCAGGCGCUAAACUUUUCCCUACUUACACAUCCUACAUUUGGGUAAAUUUUCAAAGAAAAUUUUUGGUGGAGAGAGGAAAAGUGGCCGUCAUUGUGGGUAGGGGAAGGAGAAAGGGGAGAUGCACAAGGUGUUAUAAAACUUUUGGGUGAAUUCAGCACAAAACAUAUACAAAGUGAGACACCAACCCUCGAACUAAUAAUUUACAAUUAUUUCUUAAUUGAGGAAAAUAUUUUAAAGUAAAUAUUAACUUACUGGCAUUCGUUCAUAAUCUCAUCCUGACUGCGUACUUGAACUGGCGCCAGCGCCUCCACAUUCUCCUCAAAAUUGCCAAAACAUUUGGUAAUCUUUUCAUCGAAAGUAUUGACCAAAUCUUCCAAACUGCCACCAAACGCUUCACCAAAAUUAUCGGUGGCAUCUGCAUUACCCUUGGCACCAGCAUCCAAUGUGGUAGACAUCUCGGCGCUUAGCAUGGUAUUGCAAUUGGGACUUAUAUUGCCUCCCACGUUAUAUCCACCAUUCUUGCUGACAUGGGCAUCCCUCACGGCUUCCUCGAGCAGACGAAUUUUAUUUUCUUGGGCCGCCAUGGGAUCCUUGAGAUUCAAGUUCAAUGAGUCAUUGAUGGUAUUUUGAUUGGAGAUGAAAUCACAGCCGGCCCAGUCAUCGGUCUCAUCCAUCUUUGCCAAGGGAGCCUCAAAUUUAAGCUCGGCCAUUUUCGAGCCGAGGUCACGCAUGGCCUAAAUAAACACUCAAUUAAAUAAACAAAAGUCUGAGACGGAGCAGUUUUAUUCUUCUUUUUCUAGCUUAGCCAGUGACCACAACAAGUAAA